AGCGGCGGAUGGGUGAGUAACACGUGGGGAACCUGCCCCUAAGUCUGGGAUACCAUUUGGAAACAGGUGCUAAUACCGGAUAAUAAAGCAGAUCGCAUGAUCAGCUUUUGAAAGGCGGCGUAAGCUGUCGCUAAGGGAUGGCCCCGCGGUGCAUUAGCUAGUUGGUAAGGUAACGGCUUACCAAGGCGACGAUGCAUAGCCGAGUUGAGAGACUGAUCGGCCACAUUGGGACUGAGACACGGCCCAGACUCCUACGGGAGGCAGCAGUAGGGAAUCUUCCACAAUGGACGCAAGUCUGAUGGAGCAACGCCGCGUGAGUGAAGAAGGUUUUCGGAUCGUAAAGCUCUGUUGUUGGUGAAGAAGGAUAGAGGUAGUAACUGGCCUUUAUUUGACGGUAAUCAACCAGAAAGUCACGGCUAACUACGUGCCAGCAGCCGCGGUAAUACGUAGGUGGCAAGCGUUGUCCGGAUUUAUUGGGCGUAAAGCGAGCGCAGGCGGAAAAAUAAGUCUAAUGUGAAAGCCCUCGGCUUAACCGAGGAACUGCAUCGGAAACUGUUUUUCUUGAGUGCAGAAGAGGAGAGUGGAACUCCAUGUGUAGCGGUGGAAUGCGUAGAUAUAUGGAAGAACACCAGUGGCGAAGGCGGCUCUCUGGUCUGCAACUGACGCUGAGGCUCGAAAGCAUGGGUAGCGAACAGGAUUAGAUACCCUGGUAGUCCAUGCCGUAAACGAUGAGUGCUAAGUGU
rnacentral:rRNA from 1 species